rnacentral:snRNA from 1 species
GUCUCUUAGGGAACAUCCCAUAAAAUUGGAAUGAUAUAGAGAAGAUUAACACGGCCCCUGCGCAAGGAUUACAUGCACAAAUCGCGAAAUGGUCCAACGAUAU